rnacentral:lncRNA from 1 species
UAUUGAUUUGGGAACCCAUGGAAGGGGGUCAGCUGUGAGAUAUGGAAUGAAUCACAGUUCAUCUCGCAGAUUUAUGGCAUGCCUACAGAAAAAGUACCUUAUGAUGCAAACCUGAAAGUUUAAAUAAUCUCCUGAAAGUUCCACAAUCAGAGCUGCAGAGAACUACAGGAGCUGUUUUUAAAGAGGAUUAAGCACCGUUACCUCUUCUUUUCCAUUCCAUUCUACUCCAGCCAGGUUCCAGCUUUCAUCAUUCUCCAGAGAAGACAUCUCCAUUUUCACAUAAGCUCCCCAGCUCUCAAGAAGACAUGCCAAACUUCAAAGAA